rnacentral:snRNA from 1 species
AUCAUUUUAACAUUAGCUUGACUCAAAAUUUUAAAUCUGUUCUUAUGGCUUUAAUAACUGAUACUUCCUCUAUCUGAGGACUAUCUAUUAACUGAUUUUUGGAAUAGGGAGAUGGAAUGGCAGCUUUCUCCAUCCACUGCACACAUCGCCGUUAUUGCAGUACUGGACCUCCAGGAACGGUGGACCUCCC